ACGGGGGCAGCAGUGAGGAAUAUUGGUCAAUGGACGGAAGUCUGAACCAGCCAAGUCGCGUGAAGGAAGACGGUUCUAUGGAUUGUAAACUUCUUUUGCAUGAGGGUAAAGUGACCUACGUGUAGGUUAUUGCAAGUAUCAUGUGAAUAAGCAUCGGCUAACUCCGUGCCAGCAGCCGCGGUAAUACGGAGGAUGCGAGCGUUAUCCGGAUUUAUUGGGUUUAAAGGGUGCGUAGGCGGGCUGUUAAGUCAGCGGUGAAAGUUUGCGGCUCAACCGUAAAAUUGCCGUUGAAACUGGCGGUCUUGAGUGUAAACGAGGUAGGCGGAAUGUGAUGUGUAGCGGUGAAAUGCUUAGAUAUGUCACAGAACUCCGAUUGCGAAGGCAGCUUACCAGGAUACAACUGACGCUGAGGCACGAAAGCGUGGGUAUCAAACAGGAUUAGAUACCCUGGUA
rnacentral:rRNA from 1 species